AUGAAUUUAGUUUGUGUUGUUUGAAAUGGUUGUAUAUUUUUGUAUAUUUUUUGGUUAUAAUAGUUAUGCCUUUGUUACGGUUAAAUUGCUAUUUAUUUGUUUCGUCUUUCUAGAACUGAUUUGUUACCAUCAAUAACUUAAUGGUUUAGUCCAAGUGGGAGGUGAUUAUACUUUUUAAGAGUUUCUCUCAGUCUUGUAAAGGGAACUCAUAGAGUGAGUUGGUGAAGUUGCUUGCUUGAGUUUUGGGUCAAGUUCUUGAUAUAGGCCAAAUUUUUGUUUGUACAUUUAAGCUUUGUACAGUGUUUUUUUUUUUUUUUUUUUUAUCUUUUGAUACUUUUGGAGUAACACUGUAAAUGUCAUUUUGUAAAAUCUUUGUUUUUCAUAUUUUGGAAAAAACAACAACUUUUUGACUUCAUCAGCACGUCACUUCAUUUUUUUUCAUGCCUCCAUGGGCCGGUAUGUCCAGAGCCGGGGUGGCAGUUGGCACACCACUGUCUCUGUUACAGUGACCUUAGGGAGCAUGAUUGAUUGCAGCAUGGUAGAAGACUAGUUAAGUACGCAUGGAGCUAACCCAUUAAAGGGCCUUAUUGGUUUGGGAUUCGACUUUUUUGUUCUUCAAGGACAUUCAUCCUGCUGCCAAGAACUGUCAAACAGGAGCAUCUCAGUAUAAAGAGAUGCUGAGCCGUAACAGUUUACCUCUCCACACAGUCAGAGAGACGUGAGGAAUGGUUUGAAGCUGGUGCAUCAUGUCCUCCGACUGCAUACAAGAAACUGUUAUAUGUGGCCACGCCCACUCCUCCCCUCCUCUUUGACAUGG